rnacentral:rRNA from 1 species
UACGGAGGAUCCGAGCGUUAUCCGGAUUUAUUGGGUUUAAAGGGUGCGCAGGCGGGAGAUUAAGUAGGCGGUGAAAUUUUGCAGCUCAACUGUAAAAGUGCCUUCGAAACUGGUUUCCUUGAGUGUAGAUGAAGUAGGCGGAAUUUGUGGUGUAGCGGUGAAAUGCUUAGAUAUCACGAGGAACUCCGAUUGCGCAGGCAGCUUACUAAACCACUACUGACGCUCAGGCACGAAGGCGUGGGGAUCAAACAGGAUUAGAUACCCUGGUAGU